ensembl:lncRNA
GUACGCUACUAUGGGAAUGGCUCCUCCGUUACAGGAAGCAGCCGGGCCGCUCUGUGGCGCCAUCUUGGUUGAUGGCAAACUGCCUCACUCUCUGUAGGUCGGCCAUCUUGGACGAGGGGUGAGGUAGCUGGCAGGGAGGUGACGCUGCGGCUGCCAUGUUGAGUGAGGGCAGCCUAACAAGAUCUUGAUGGUGCUGCCGUAUGAGAUGGGGCAAUCAUCGUUCCACUUUUCACGUCUCUGUGUGACCAGAGGGUAAACAUCUUGAACUUCAGAGUCUGCAUACCACCUAAUCCCGAGGGAGUCCCCAGGGCCUGUCUGCAUUGAGCUGAAACCUCAGUUCUUAAGCAUCAGGAUCUGCCAGAUUUACAGCCUUCAAAGAGUAGCUUAGCAUCCAAAAUAGUGUAAAGCCUGUGCUGACCUGGCAGGACAGAAGCAGCAACAAGGGAGCUGAAAGCUGUUUUGGAGCCUCUAGUGAACACUGAGGAUCACGUUCCUUCCACGUGAAUGCUACCCAGUGGACUAACCAGCUCAUGAAUGUCAAACCAGCCUCAUUCUUCCUGCCAUGGUUUACACUACGUCCUCAAAGUAGCAGAAAUUAAUGAUAUCAUUGAGGUCAUACUACCUAUAUGCCUGGUCUAUACGUACUUAUAUAUGCAAUUCAUCAGCAACAUGUGCAAAAUAUAUUUUAUUGUGUGCAUUCUAGUGCAGGUAAGGUUUCUGAGGAGAGGCAAUAGAAAAAAAAAACAAUUCUCAGAAGAGAAUUCAAAAUCAUUCAUUUAACAGCAGUACUUUGUCUUUAAGAGGCCUGGGUUGUGAAUUCUGUACAGUUUAAGUUGAAAAAUGCUAAAACGAUUGGAGAUUAUUGUUCUGUUUUAGUGAUUCAAUUUACUUAUUGGAUAAAUGUAAGUUGAUUUCCAUAGCCAUCCUCUUUCCUUGUAUGCUAGCACCUCUCUGAUGACAGGAGUCAAGAGUCAUCAAAUUCCCUCACAGAUAAGCUGAUAGGAAAUUCUAAGGUACAAAUUACUAACUCUGUGUUUGUGAUGAGCACUAUUACAGUGAUCUCUUGCACACUGAGCUGUUCAGAGUAGUACGACUCAUGCCUGUAAUCUCUUAACAUCUAUUUUCAGACUUCUUCAUUUCCGAAGGCAUUUUACCUUUCCUUAAAUAUUUAGGAAUAUUGAAAUUUACCUCCACAGCUGCUUUUAAAAUAUAUAUAUUACUGUUCCUGUACUUUACAAGACCACCCCUAAUAUCCUUUCGUAAUUGCACAAGGUCUUUUCACAUAUGUAUAUCAAAUUAGUCAGUGAAAUUCAGAUGCAUUGGACAAGUUUUCUCCAUGAACCAAUGUUGCGUGCCUGGAAGUGGUGCAUAUCACUGGUUUUAAUUUUGUUUUCACAGAGAUCAUACCCUUUUAUCUUUACAGACGAGCAAAAUGUCCAUUACUGUAAGUGGAAAUAGGAUUACAUUCCGGCUAUUAAAAUGGACAUGACUAAGUUUUUUCUGGGUUGAUCAGAACUGCUAUCUCAAAAAUUCAACUUCCAUGGAAGAAGAGCAGGAUACUCCACGGGAGCCAACUGCCAUUGAAACCCAGAAUCUGUCCCAGUCCUUUGACUUGCUUUCUUUAAGCCAGGUAGGUUGCUCUGAAAGUAAUGUACCUAUUUAUUUCCAUGGAAAUUACAACAGCUACAAAGAGCGCAAUAAAC